GUGUAGAGCUUAAAAUUAUGCUCAAUGUCACACUUACUGGAACAACUCAGUAUGCUGAGAUUGUCUCAUUUCAUUAGACAUGAUUUCAUCUUUUUUUUCAAUUUUUUUAAUGACAGUAGCCUGAUGCAUAGAUCUUUAAAAGGUCUGCAGAAACCAGAAGAUGAAAUGUAGAGUGAUUCAUCUGAACACUGAUUCAGUCCAAAAACUGAACAAUAGAUUUCACAACUGUCAGUGCUGAGUGGAGUUCCUUGUCUGCUUCUACACUACAAGCCUUCAGUCACCCUUGGAGGAAGCUCAUUUCUACUUCUGAACAAGGGUAUUUUGUUCACGGCACCACAGGCAAGUAUCUAGAAGUAUAUCUAUGCUAGGAAGCGAAGAACUUCAUGCUAAUUGAUUUUUAUGACUCACAUUUGCCAUUCCAGUAUAGCCAUAAUGCUGAUAUAAUAUUUCUGGACAUUUUUAGUUCUUCCAGGAAGUGUUUAGGAAGAGGAGAGCUUGAAUGGCUGCCGGCUUGGUCUGCAGAUGUGUAGUUCUUCCUGGGUUGGAUUUGCAGGGUUCAUGUAAGCAUGAACUCAGACCCUCUGCAAAGGUAGAGGUGAUAUUUAGGCUGCAUUCUGCUGACGUGUUCCUGAGCUUGAUGAAGAGUUACCUUUUUUGACCUGGGAAGAUUGGAAAAGAAAUCUGGAAUUGCAGGAUGUGGAUUUGGCUUCAGUCUUUACCUUGAUGAUUUCAGAAUAAUCUUUGACAUUCAGAAUUAAUCAGUCCUUGGCUACUUCUGGAGAAAACCCCAAGCCAUCAUGGGCUCAGGAUGUGGCCUAACUCCCCAUGUGCAGCAUGGUUCUGGACUACACAAGGUGCAGGCUGUGGUACCAAAUAAGCUGUCCUCAUUCGGCAGGCUGAGCUGCUCUCAGAGGACUUCAUGGCCUUGUAUCACACCCAGAAUGAGGAGCGGGCACCAAAUAAUAAACAAAAAUAUGCUGUCAUCCUCAACCUCUUGUGGGAUGGAGGAGAAGUCUGACAACUUAACUUGGCUUUGCUAUCCCUCAUGGGCAAACGUGCUUCCUUUCCUUCCUGUGAUGCAUUGCAAGCGUAAUGUGUCUUGUCCUGCUGCCAAUACCACCACAAUAGAUUACAGUGCUUCUCUGAGCAGAGAUACUGACAGGACGUAUAAACAAUUUGUGAAGAAACUCUGAAGAGGGUGGAGAUGGCUGAGUCCUGACAGGGAGCCCCUAAAAGAGGAAGAGAGCUGGUAUGAAGGAAGGCUGCUGGCUGGGCUGAACAUCCUUCUCAUCACUGGUUCUUGGAGCAAAAAUUGCUGACUACUCUCUGUGCAAGUGUUUUGGAAGUUGUGAUGGAAUAUACAGCUGGUCACUGAAUUUUUAUUUGUUCUUUCCUCUUAUUUCAGUUGUGGAACCUUCACUUCUGUUUUUCUUUUGCCUUAAAAAUUGCAGCUAUCUGUAGCGUGACCACUUUCCUGUUUCAUGGUGCAUAGUUAAUGAACAUAAAGAUGUUAUAAUUAUGAAAUAAACAAGAGAGUGUGGCAAAGCA
ensembl:lncRNA